rnacentral:tRNA from 1 species
UCCUAAUUGGCAGACUAAUGCAAUAGAAUUAGAAUCUAAUUAAACCUAAUUAUUAU